AAAAAAGAUGUGCUGUUCCUGAACAACUCCCUCCCCUUAAUAGAGGCCCUGCAAGCCAAGCCACUGUGUGAAUCAUCUUGCCUUGGUAAAGCCAAACUUAGAUCAGUUAUAACUAUUUCCCUUUCUUCUAUGCUGGCCAGAGCCUAGGCCUGCCUUUAAGUUCCCUAACACUUUAAGCUUCCCUUCCUGCUGUCUGCUGCCCCCUCCCAUUCCCCAGCAGCCUGGCCCUGGUCCCUUCAUUGUCCUCCUCCCUCCUCCCUUCCAGGCAGCUUGGAAGUUGCCGCUCACCUGUCCAGUGGCUUUUCUUUUCAACUCUAAUAAAUUUUCCUGGAACUUCAGUUUGAGUCUGUUCUUCACCUUCCAGCACCUGUUGGUAUAUCUGGUCUUAAAGUCUUUUUAAGGAGACCAAGAACCACACAAGGGAACCUUGAUUUCCCUGGGCAACAUGUGAUGGUUCUAUUGGGACUCUCCAAAAUUUCAGAUAACACUUUCUGUCUUUACUCUCUUAGUUGUCAUAGAAAACAGAUUUGCUCCCAUAUCCCUAGAUGGCAUCGCAUCCUAUAUACUUAUAUGACUGCAGCUUGAUAUCAAUGGACCUACCCAUUAAACAUGACAGCAGUGGACCUGAGCAUUAAUGUGUCUAUAAUACAUUUCUCAGAAAUUCAAACUUGGUCUUUGGCGGGGUUAUUUUAAAUCAUUUAUUUUAUGUGUAUAUCUUUGAUCCACCCUACCCCACCCUCAUAGGUAUCUCUCUGCAUCAUGUGUUUGCAGUGCCAGCUUAGGCCAGAAGAGGGCAGUAGUUCCCCAAGAACUGCAGUUACAGCCAACUGUGAGUGUUGAUGUGGGUGUUGGGAAUCAAUCCUGCCCCCUCUUCAAGAAAAAUUUAAAACACUGAGUUAUCUCUCCAGCCCCAGAAACUAGGAAUUGUGACUUGCCCUACCAUAUCAAUCAAUGGCUUAGGAUUGUUAAUGAUUUAUUAGUUAAUUUCUCAGCUCAAAGUCAAAAAUUCAUUUUUAAAUGAAUUGUCCUCCGCCCCUAUUAGCAAACCGUUACUGUCUUUGGGAUGUAACAUUUUCUGCAAUUAAUUUUUAAUGAGUGCAACCUAAGGCUUCCAGGCAAAACAAAAUUAAUAUGUAAGAUUUAUUAGACAAUUUCUGUAGGAACUAAUGUUCCCUGGGUGACAAGGAGCACAGAUUAUGUGAGGUCUAUUCUGUAAACUCUAAACAAGACAGGAAAUCUCCAUCCUCACGCAAAAUGUUUGUCAUAAUUUUUCUAGAUGAAGCACUGAUUCCAGCAGUCUUUCAGAACUCCAAAUACAGGAUUUGAGAAUUUGCGGCAUUCCAACAUUGUUAAAUUGAAGAGCUUCCUCCUAACCUGCAAUUGGAAAUGACUGGCAUGAAUGUAAGGAUUUAUGCAACAGAUGUGAUGCAGUAGCCUGCUUUAUGGCAUGUACCCAACAAGAAGUAACCAGAACGCUGAGCUGAGCAUGGUAGAGCAAGUCAGAACCUGGAAGUUUCCUUCUACACGUACUCUGGUCUGCCCUUGGGAAAGGACUGGUGCCUUUAUCUGCUAUCAAGUGCAUCACGGACUAUAAAUGAACAGGAACCUGAAGCAAUGGUCCUCUCGCCUCUACAACUGCUUACCGUUGCCGUUGGACCUGACCUUUAUGUCUUGUUGAAUUUAUCAGUGAUUUUGAGGGAAGCUCAUGAUAUCACCUGCAAGAAGCAGAAGGACCUUACAGUGUGGUUAUAAAAGCCAUACAUUUAGGGAGCAGGAAAAUAAAAUAGGAAAUGUUUUCACGUGUACUUCAUUUGCCAUAGGAUUUCCAUAUACUUAAGCCAAUUCCUAGGCAUACACUGCAUAUAGACCAGAAGCAAUCCUUGAGAGUGUAAAAAGGAAAAAAAAAAAGUGACAGUUGCUAAUUGGUUAAUUAGCACUUAACUGAAAUGCCUCUAAAUUUGAACACUCCCAGCUGAACAGUAGGCAGGAAACAAAUUCAAUGCCUUGAAGUGGAAUGCAGGAGGCUGUUCACUAGGGAGCAGCUGGCGCCUGCUUCGCUCCUCAUCCUUCCUGUCGGCAGGGUUUACCUUCCCAAGGAAAUGUGUGAAAAUACACACAGGGAAGAGUGUACCGAAGCAUUUUCUCUGCAGCCCCACCCCGUUCUCUCUUAGCUGAGGGAGCAUCUGAGGUUACUCCCAUUGUCAUCAGACGCACUGCUCCGCGGAUUCAUCUCCAGACUUUCCCGAGCGUCUUGCCAUCUUGUCCAGGUAAUAAGUUAACUGCCUAGAAACAACAAACCAAAGAGAUGCCGCCUUUUUUCUUGUUGAAUAAGCGGUUUCCCUGAUAGUUUGAUCUCUUGUAACCAUAGCAGAACACCUGACAGGUACAAUUUAAGGACUGACUGGCUCAUGGAUUCCGGUGCAGCCCCUCGUGGGUGAGAAGGCUGGACUAAGAGGGCUGAUUGCAUUAAGUCCAGUCAUGAAGCAGAGAUGAGAACGCUUGUGCCCGGCUAGCUUCUUUUUCUUCCUUUAUUCUGUUCAGGACCCUAGCCUACAGCAUGGGGCCACCCACAUUCAGAGUAGGUCUUAAUUCCCUGGAUAAACAUCCCUUUGAAAGACAGGCCCAGAGAUGUUUUUCCUAGGUGAUGCUAAAUCCAAUAAAGUUGACAGUCUGGACUGCCUAUCACAACAGUUAACAAUCACAGAUAGCUGCUUAGCAAAGAGCGACUUAUGACUUAUGUGAUUUCUAGGAAGCAGUACACUCCUACCCCGUGGUAUCUGCGAUGCUGUCACAGACAGAACUGCAGUGGGUGGGGCUUGACAGUCCCUUCCUUCCCACGUCAUUUCAUUUUGAACAGAAGGCUUCACAUCAGGAAUUUGGACUCAAUUUCAGGACACCAGUGUUGACUGUCGCUUGAAACAAGUCCUCGGGAUGCUUGGACGUUAUUUCUGAGAGCUGAGAGGUUCAACUUGGCCAAAGUGCUCACCCAACUUGCAGAGUCUCUCCAGAUAGCUAGAACUACAACCUCCAGGAAGGCUCAAGUGGAUAUUGUCUCCUCAACCAGAGCUCAGCCAGGUUCAGUGUUUUGUCUCAUUCUUGAGUAUGUGUGUGAUCACUCAAAGAAGUCUUCAAAGGGACUCUUGAAAGUUUUCCUGCCUCCAAAUGAAAAAGAAAAUAUUUCCUGCCUUGCCAGAAAAUGGUGAAUAAUCCAGCCCUUACUUUGAGAAGCACCUAGCAACGCUGGAGCCGUGUUUCUUUGCAGAAAGAGUUAGAUGUAUCAGAUGGCUACCCCACACUCUGGGUGUGCUAAUGAUCUACUGCUAGCACUUAAGGUAAUGAAUGGAACAAAUCCUUGUCCAGUCCAGAACAGGGAAAGGACACCCAGGCCUUGGCUGCAUCUAUAGCAAUCAGCUAUGGAUGAACAAACCAUUUCCUAUACGAAAAUCCAGUAUAAGUAUUGGGAGUUCUGAUCAUCUCUCACUUCUGAGCCUUGUCACCUCUCAUCUCCCCGAAGCUGCCUGCUGUCGUCUGUGUAAACUCCCCUCUACACAGUGCAUGGCAGCUCAGUAGCAUCCUUCUUGCUCCCUCCAAGACCAUAAGGUAAAUAUACCCACCAUGCCCAAAUCAGGAAUCAGACCCUCUAACCCUGAAAUACAUAUGGGCUUUGUCCUCACUUCUGCUGAUUUCAAAUGCCACUGAUUCUCUAAGUGUCUUUCUAACUGGCCCCAUGACAUCCCACACCCCAUCAGCCUCCUCCUGCCCUGGGCAACCCUCUGUCUCCCCACUGUUCACCGACACAUAUUUAUUUGCUUAUCUAUUUUCCUCUACAUAUUACCCUCGAGGCAGGAACGAAAGGUGGAGAGUGAGGUCAGAGGCCUGAUACAGAGGCUAUAAAAUUAACAUACACAUAUGAGAAAAGCUGUCCGUCCGACAAAAGAAACUGGAAGUCUUCAGGCUGAGGCUGACUGAAGAUGAGUCAUGGCUGGAACCACUGGCUCAGCAGCAAAGGAACCCUCAGCCUGUCUGAAGCUGGCCUGUGACUCACUAAACCGCCGGAGCCAGGUGUACAGGCAAGAGAAGAAGAAGAGGGAGUUUGGCACCAGCAUAAGCUGAACAACAGAACCUUGUCACAAAACAACAACAAAAUAAUAAACAAGAAGCAACAAGAGAGAACCAGGUGAAUGUCUUCACAGACCAGCUGCUUGCAUGACUAAGCUCUUGGUACACCACGAAAAUAAUGGAUUUCAAGCACCGUCAUAGUGGCUGUGGUCUGUGGGCAACCUGGGAGACUAAAUCAGGUGCGGGGAAUUGCAUGCCAGUGAGAUCACCUGGCAUGCAGGCACAUCUCGAAAAGCACGAGGGGUGGUCAGAAGUCACAGCACAAGUGUAUUGAGUCAUAGUUAAGAUGUGGGUAUUGUACACAGUCUUGUUUUUUUGCUGAUCUGCCUAAAACUUUACAGUUGAAAAUAGUUGCCAUUAAAGUGAUCAAUGGGACUCUUAUCUAAUCUUUUACCUAGAACAAUUGAAAGUAGUCUUCUUUGCCACCCUGCUAUGUAGAAGAAUUCAGUAAGUUAAAGUGAGGAUCUGGGGUCAAUAUAAGCAGUGAAUCUUAGGGUUAAGGGAAAGGGAAAAGAGAAGAUAGAUAGAUAGAUAGAUAGAUAGACAGACAGACAUACACAGAUAGAUAU